AUUGAACGCUGGCGGCAUGCCUUACACAUGCAAGUCGAACGGCAGCAUGGAGAGCUUGCUCUCUGAUGGCGAGUGGCGAACGGGUGAGUAAUGCAUCGGAACGUGCCGUGUAAUGGGGGAUAACGUAGCGAAAGUUACGCUAAUACCGCAUACGACCUGAGGGUGAAAGCAGGGGAUCGCAAGACCUUGCGUUAUGCGAGCGGCCGAUGUCAGAUUAGCUAGUUGGUGAGGUAAAGGCUCACCAAGGCGACGAUCUGUAGCGGGUCUGAGAGGAUGAUCCGCCACACUGGGACUGAGACACGGCCAAGACUCCUACGGGAGGCAGCAGUGGGGAAUUUUGGACAAUGGGGGCAACCCUGAUCCAGCCAUGCCGCGUGAGUGAAGAAGGCCUUCGGGUUGUAAAGCUCUUUCGGCCGGGAAGAAAUCGCACAGGCUAAUACUCUGUGUGGAUGACGGUACCGGCAUAAGAAGCACCGGCUAACUACGUGCCAGCAGCCGCCGCGG
rnacentral:rRNA from 1 species